rnacentral:rRNA from 1 species
AUUGAACGCUGGCGGCAUGCCUUACACAUGCAAGUCGAACGGCAGCAUGGAGAGCUUGCUCUCUGAUGGCGAGUGGCGAACGGGUGAGUAAUGCAUCGGAACGUACCGUGUAAUGGGGGAUAACGUAGCGAAAGUUACGCUAAUACCGCAUACGACCUGAGGGUGAAAGCAGGGGAUCGCAAGACCUUGCGUUAUACGAGCGGCCGAUGUCAGAUUAGCUGGUUGGUGAGGUAAAGGCUCACCAAGGCGACGAUAGGUAGCGGGUCUGAGAGGAUGAUCCACCACACUGGGACUGAGACACGGCCCAGACUCCGACGGGAGGAAGCAGUGGGGAAUUUUGGACAAUGGGGGCAACCCUGAUCCAGCCAUGCCGCGUGAGUGAAGAAGGCCUUCGGGUUGUAAAGCUCUUUCGGCCGGGAAGAAAUCGCACAGGCUAAUACUCUGUGUGGAUGACGGUACCGGCAUAAGAAGCACCGGCUAACUACGUGCCAGCCGCCGCGGUAA